rnacentral:rRNA from 1 species
ACUACGGGAGGCAGCAGUGGGGGAUAUUGCACAAUGGGGGGAACCCUGAUGCAGCGACGCCGCGUGGGUGAAGGAGUGCUUCGGCAUGUAAAGCCCUAUCGGCAGGGAAGAAGCAAGACGGUACCUGACUAAGAAGCCCCGUCUAACUACGUGCCAGCAGCCGCGGUAAUACGUAGGGGGCGAGCGUUAUCCGGAUUCACUGGGUGUAAAGGGAGCGGAGACGGCCAAGCAGGCCAGGGGUGAAAGCCCGGGGCCCAACACCGGGACUGCCCUUGGAACUGCAUGGCUGGAGUGCGGGAGGGGCAGACGGAAUUCCUGGUGUAGCGGUGAAAGGCGUAGAUAUCAGGAGGAACACCGGCGGCGAAGGCGGCCUGCUGGACCGCGACUGACGUUGAGGCUCGAAAGCGUGGGGAGCGAACAGGAUUAGAUACCCCUGUAGUC